rnacentral:antisense_RNA from 1 species
CUUCAACGACCCCAGCCACAGCGGCUGGUCCUCCGGGCGGUUCCGGCCGUACGUGGCAAGAAGCGCCUGGGCCUC